rnacentral:rRNA from 1 species
CCUACGGGUGGCAGCAGUGAGGAAUAUUGGUCAAUGGACGAGAGUCUGAACCAGCCAAGUAGCGUGAAGGAUGACUGCCCUAUGGGUUGUAAACUUCUUUUAUAUGGGAAUAAAACGUUCCACGUGUGGGAUUUUGUAUGUACCAUAUGAAUAAGGAUCGGCUAACUCCGUGCCAGCAGCCGCGGUAAUACGGAGGAUCCGAGCGUUAUCCGGUUUUAUUGGGUUUAAAGGGAGCGUAGGUUGAUUGUUAAGUCAGUUGUGAAAGUUUGCGGCUCAACCGUAAAAUUGCAGUUGAAACUGGCAGUCUUGAGUACAGUAGAGGUGGGCGGAAUUCGUGGUGUAGCGGUGAAAUGCUUAGAUAUCACGAAGAACUCCGAUUGCGAAGGCAGUUCACUGGACUGCAACUGACACUGAGGCUCGAAAGUGUGGGUAUCAAACAGGAUUAGAUACCCUGGUAGUC